CGACACCUUCAACAGCAGGCGAGGGGGGUUUUCUUGUCUCCUGUUCCUCUUGGAGAGACAGUCAAACUGAAACCCAGGAAGAGAAAAUGAUUCAGACCCUGGAUGAGUCGGCAGCAGUGAGCAAGUCCCAGGAGGUCACCUGGAUUCAGGAUGCUCCAGAAAAACAGGCCAGAGCCCUCUCCAUUGGCCACAUUUGUCCCCAAGCUUUUGGGCCUGGCACAGCGUGUCCAGGCUGUGCUCAGUGCUACGUGAGACCCAGGGGAAGUCCCCACAACCAGCCUUGCCUCCAGGGACCUUACAAGUUGGCUGGGAGGACAGAAUACGCCCCUACUCAUGCAGAAGAGCAUCCAAAUACAGUCAUGAAAUCAUGAUUCUGUGUGGGGAAACCUGGAGAGACCACAGCAGCCCUCAGAGGCCCAUCACGAGUACAGAUGGCAUCCAAGCACCUCCAGCCCCACUCGGUACCCAGGGAUUCACCAUGAGCUACUCUGUUUCCCGCUACAUCCAGGAAACGCUGUUGACUGGGCCGUGGUGGGUGCGACUAUAAAGGCUCUGAGAAGGCCUGCAGAGGUGAAACUGCUUGGUUUCUGUCUUUUUUGGUUUAGAUAUUAUUAGUUUCUUAUAGAAGAGACAUACAAAUUAUUUACACGGUGAAACUUUCAGAACUGCAGUGGAAUGGCAGCUUCAAUGUGAUGCCAUUUCAGUGAGCAAUUAAUUUCAGUCCACAUACAUCCUAAGAAUGUCACCAUCUCUAAAUAAGAAAUAGUCCUUAUUGGCUUCCAGAUCUCUGAGUAAGUGGAGGUUGCUGGUGGGCGGCAUGUCCAGAGAGGGCACGGAAGCUCCGCACCCCUUCCCACAUACCUCUCCCUAAGCAUCUCUUCAUCUAAAAUCUCAAAGACAAAGCAAAAUGUCACCUAACUUCUUGGUUGACAAUAUGGGCUGGAUACUGAAGUUUCUUCUUCCUGUAAUAAUUGUUGCUUUAUAAAUUCAGUAAUAUAAAGAAAAUCUAAAAAAAA